rnacentral:rRNA from 1 species
GAUGAACGCUGGCGGCGUGCCUAACACAUGCAAGUCGAGCGGAGAUCUGCGAAGCAGUAAUGCGGAGCGGGUUUUAGCGGCGGACGGGUGAGUAACACGUGAGCAAUCUGCCUCUUGCUGGGGAAUAACAUUGUGAAAACAGUGCUAAUACCGCAUGACAUCCGACCGGGACAUCCCGGACGGAUCAAAGGAGCAAUCCGGCAGGAGAUGAGCUCGCGUCCGAUUAGCUGGUUGGUGAGGUAACGGCCCACCAAGGCGACGAUCGGUAGCCGAACUGAGAGGUUGAUCGGCCACAUUGGGACUGAGACACGGCCCAGACUCCUACGGGUGGCAG